AUUGAACGCUGGCGGCAUGCUUUACACAUGCAAGUCGAACGGUAACAGGCCUUCGGGUGCUGACGAGUGGCGAACGGGUGAGUAAUGCAUCGGAACGUACCCAGAGGUGGGGGAUAACGCAGCGAAAGCUGUGCUAAUACCGCAUGUGAUCUGAGGAUGACAGCGGGGGACCGAGCAGCAAUGUUUGGCCUCGCGCCUUUGGAGCGGCCGAUGUCGGAUUAGCUAGUUGGUGGGGUAAAGGCCUACCAAGGCGACGAUCCGUAGCUGGUCUGAGAGGACGACCGGCCACACUGGGACUGAGACACGGCCCAGACUCCUACGGGAGGCAGCAGUGGGGAAUUUUGGACAAUGGGCGCAAGCCUGAUCCAGCAAUGCCGCGUGCGGGAAGAAGGCCUUCGGGUUGUAAACCGCUUUUGGCAGGAACGAAACGGUGUCCGCUAAUACCGGGCGCUAAUGACGGUACCUGCAGAAUAAGCACCGGCUAACUACGUG
rnacentral:rRNA from 1 species